CCAACAGGGAUUGCCUCAGUAACGGCGAGUGAAGCGGCAACAGCUCAAAUUUGAAAUCUGGUCCUCUCCGGUCCCGAGUUGUAAUUUGUAGAGGAUGUUUCGGGUGCGGCGCGGGUCUAAGUCCUUUGGAACAGGGCGUCGUAGAGGGUGAGAACCCCGUAUGCGACCCGUGGCCAACCCCAUACGAAACCCCUUCGACGAGUCGAGUUGUUUGGGAAUGCAGCUCAAAAUGGGUGGUAAAUUUCAUCUAAAGCUAAAUACCGGCCAGAGACCGAUAGCGCACAAGUAGAGUGAUCGAAAGAUGAAAAGCACUUUGGAAAGAGAGUUAAAAAGUACGUGAAAUUGUUGAAAGGGAAGCGCUUGCAACCAGACCUGUCCGCGGGCGAUCAACCUCCCGUUCUCGGGGGUGCACUCGUCCGCGACCAGGCCAGCAUCGGUUCGGGCGGUCGGACAAAGGCCUUGGGAAUGUAGCUCCCUCCGGGGAGUCUUAUAGCCCUGGGUGCAAUGCGGCCAGCCCGGACCGAGGACCGCGCUUCGGCUAGGAUGCUGGCGUAAUGGUUGUCAGCGACCCGUCUUGAAACACGGACCAAGGAGUCUAACAUCUAUGCAAGUGUUUGGGUGUCAAACCCAUGCGCGUAAUGAAAGUGAAUGGAGGUGAGAACCGUUUCAGGGUACAUCAUCGACCGAUCCAGAUGUCUUCGGAUGGAUUUGAGUAUGAGCAUAGCUGUUGGGACCCGAAAGAUGGUGAACUAUGCCUGAAUAGGGUGAAGCCAGAGGAAACUCUGGUGGAGGCUCGCAGCGGUUCUGACGUGCAAAUCGAUCGUCAAAUUUGGGUAUAGGGGCGAAAGACUAAUCGAACCAUCUAAACCGACCCUACUGGAUGGUUCCGUCGGGCCUUCUACCAUUCUACCACAAGGUUCUGAGUAGUCCUCCCCCCCGGGGGGGGCCACAUUGCCAGUCUUCGGGUGUGCCUUCGGGUUACCCGCAGCGAGUCCCCGGGCUACGUUCACAGACUAGACAGCAAUGGCCGCGCCCGGGGCGCGGUUCAAAGAUAGCCGAUCCCCUCGUGCUCCACGGGGGCUGUUCAGAGUAGCUGGUUCCUGCCGAAGUUUCCCUCAGGAUAGCAGUAACGAUUUCAGUUUUAUGAGGUAAAGCGAAUGAUUAGAGGCCUUGGGGUUGAAACAACCUUAACCUAUUCUCAAACUUUAAAUAUGUAAGAAGUCCUUGUUACUUAGUUGAACGUGGACAUUUGAAUGUACCGUUACUAGUGGGCCAUUUUUGGUAAGCAGAACUGGCGAUGCGGGAUGAACCGAACGCGAGGUUAAGGUGCCGGAAUGUACGCUCAUCAGACACCAUUUUGUGGUGUCGCCCACCCCGAGCUUCCAGAGGAGGCCCUGGGGAAGUCCCUUCGGGGCGAGGUCUUUGAUCUGCGUGGAGCUCUAGCGGUCGCUAUCGCUAGUCCACCCGCAGCCACGGUUCCGUGGCCCACAGAUCAAGAGGAGGCCGGUGGUCGCUCCCCGCGACCAUCCAAGAUAUGAUCGAUCUUCCGGGCGUGCAGUUCGGAGUUGGCGAGCAAAAGGUGUUGAUUCAUCUAGACAGCCGGACGGUGGCCAUGGAAGUCGGAAACCGCUAAGGAGUGUGUAACAACUCACCGGCCGAAUGAAUCAGCCCUGAAAAUGGAUGGCGCUCAAGCGUGCUACCCAUACCUCGCCGCCAGGUUAGAAACGAUGCCCUGGCGAGUAGGCAGGCGUGGGGGUCAGUGACGAAGCCU
rnacentral:rRNA from 1 species